GAUGAACGCUGGCGGCGUGCCUAAUACAUGCAAGUCGAGCGAACAGAUGAGGAGCUUGCUCCUCUGACGUUAGCGGUGGACGGGUGAGUAACACGUGGAUAACCUACCUAUAAGACUGGGAUAACUUCGGGAAACCGGAGCUAAUACCGGAUAAUAUAUUGAACCGCAUGGUUCGAUAGUGAAAGACGGUUUUGCUGUCACUUAUAGAUGGAUCCGCGCCGCAUUAGCUAGUUGGUAAGGUAACGGCUUACCAAGGCAACGAUGCGUAGCCGACCUGAGAGGGUGAUCGGCCACACUGGAACUGAGACACGGUCCAGACUCCUACGGGAGGCAGCAGUAGGGAAUCUUCCGCAAUGGGCGAAAGCCUGACGGAGCAACGCCGCGUGAGUGAUGAAGGUCUUCGGAUCGUAAAACUCUGUUAUUAGGGAAGAACAAAUGUGUAAGUAACUAUGCACGUCUUGACGGUACCUAAUCAGAAAGCCACGGCUAACUACGUG
rnacentral:rRNA from 1 species